CUCCUCUACGCUUACUCCGUGAUGGGAAUGAAGUUUGAUCUGACAAUAAAGUGCAAUAAAAGGAGAGCCGAAAACAAGAAAAACAGCCGACGACUACCUACGUCUUCUGAUGCUCCAUCCAGGUAUCGUGUGCAGUCUGGAUCAGAGACGCGUACACGAAGGAUGCACCUAAGGAUGCACCAACCGGAACGAGCACCCGACACACGUUCGCGCGCAGACACAACCGACUUCCCUUCCCCUGGGCAAAAAAGGAAUUCCACAACAAAACGCACGUGUCGACCGAUUUGUACGUUAAGGAUGUAAUUCCGUUCUGCCGAUGGCACACAUAAGAUGUAUCACAGUCGCUGGAUGCUGCCAAGCCCCUCGCUGUAAGGGCGAUUGAGAUUCGCGGCACGCUCGAUCAACGCAAGCAACCCGCUGCUGCAUUUCUCAGAUGCACGCGCCGCCGCGGUGGCUGGAUCUCCGGCGCACGCGAUCCAUCCCCGUUAGCGACCUGUAAUCGGCGGCUUUAUAAAUUUGAUCGAAAGUGAAAAGCACCCGGCAGCGGCGGCGGUCGAAAAACGGUAACCGUGGGUGAGGAACAGUCUUCAGGAACGCGACGAUUACCGAGUUAAUUUCCUCUUAAUUAUAUCCGGAAGACUGACCCACAUCCAGGAGGUUCACGCUUAUGGAAAGGCAGGGCGUACAGUGGAUCGAUCACGGAUGUAGGAAUAUCAGGAUAAAUGCGGGGUGUGUACCAGAGACGCAGGAUGAAGUCACUCUCGACGGGAUCAUCACGGAUUCAAAAAAAUCGCAGGGAACAACAGACGCUAGCGAUCGACACCGUUCCCGUAAGGGUGGAUUUAGUGAUUAGCAAUUAACUUUGACCCUCCUGCUGGCCGCUGAUGUCCGAGCGAGUGCCUCUUCUUUUCGACCAUUUUUCUACCCUCGGCUCACCGGCCGCCGAUUUCCGUUCGUCGGAAACGUCAUGUGGCACAUUAAUUGGAUCCGUGUAGAAUAAAAGGAGGCUCCUACAUAGCAAACUUAGAAACGAACCGUUCUCCAUUGACAUAUAAAUAAUGGCAACAUGACAGUGAUUGACGUCGAUAAAAGGUAUUUCAAAAGUCAAAUUGAGUACAUAUAUUUGUAUUUUAACUUAUCUUCUGUAAUUAAAAUACAAAAAUAUGUAUAGAUGUUUGUAUAUUGGAUAAUAAACCAAUAUAAAUUGAUUUACAGAACAUUUUUAUGUAAGAAUGAUACAAUAAUUACUAUAAAAUUAUACAAUAUAAAUCAUUCACUUCGAUAAUAUUAUCAACUCCAUCGAAUCUACUUUCUCUCAAUGAAUAAUCAUCAAAACGUUCGUCAGCAGAUGCAAUAAAAUUAUACGCUACCGUUUUGAUACUAUCUCCAACUGUGUAAACCUAGGUAUUAAAUAAUGUAUUUUACAAAUAUUUCAGAAAAA